ACCUGGCUGGCUCAGUUGGAAGAGCACGCGACUCCUGAUCUUGAAGUUCUGAGUUCGAGCCCCAUGUUGGGUG
rnacentral:tRNA from 1 species